rnacentral:rRNA from 1 species
GAUGAACGCUGGCGGCGUGCCUAAUACAUGCAAGUCGAGCGAACAGACGAGGAGCUUGCUUCUUUGACGUUAGCGGCGGACGGGUGAGUAACACGUGGAUAACCUACCUAUAAGACUGGGAUAACUUCGGGAAACCGGAGCUAAUACCGGAUAAUAUUUUGAACCGCAUGGUUCGAAAGUGAAAGACGGCCUUGCUGUCACUUAUAGAUGGAUCUGCGCUGUAUUAGCUAGUUGGUAAGGUAACGGCUUACCAAGGCAACGAUGCGUAGCCGACCUGAGAGGGUGAUCGGCCACACUGGAACUGAGACACGGUCCAGACUCCUACGGGAGGCAGCAGUAGGGAAUCUUCCGCAAUGGGCGAAAGCCUGACGGAGCAACGCCGCGUGAGUGAUGAAGGUCUUCGGAUCGUAAAACUCUGUUAUUAGGGAAGAACAGAUGUGUAAGUAACUGUGCACAUCUUGACGGUACCUAAUCAGAAAGCCACGGCUAACUACGUG